UUAACACAUGCAAGUCGAGGGGCAGCAUGGUCUUUGCUUGCUAAGGCCGAUGGCGACCGGCGCACGGGUGAGUAACACGUAUCCAACCUGCCGUCUACUCUUGGACAGCCUUCUGAAAGGAAGAUUAAUACAAGAUGGCAUCAUGAGUCCGCAUGUUCACAUGAUUAAAGGUAUUCCGGUAGACGAUGGGGAUGCGUUCCAUUAGAUAGUAGGCGGGGUAACGGCCCACCUAGUCUUCGAUGGAUAGGGGUUCUGAGAGGAAGGUCCCCCACAUUGGAACUGAGACACGGUCCAAACUCCUACGGGAGGCAGCAGUGAGGAAUAUUGGUCAAUGGGCGAGAGCCUGAACCAGCCAAGUAGCGUGAAGGAUGACUGCCCUAUGGGUUGUAAACUUCUUUUAUAAAGGAAUAAAGUCGGGUAUGGAUACCCGUUUGCAUGUACUUUAUGAAUAAGGAUCGGCUAACUCCGUGCCAGCAGCCGCGGUAAUACGGAGGAUCCGAGCGUUAUCCGGAUUUAUUGGGUUUAAAGGGAGCGUAGAUGGAUGUUUAAGUCAGUUGUGAAAGUUUGCGGCUCAACCGUAAAAUUGCAGUUGAUACUGGAUAUCUUGAGUGCAGUUGAGGCAGGCGGAAUUCGUGGUGUAGCGGUGAAAUGCUUAGAUAUCACGAAGAACUCCGAUUGCGAAGGCAGCCUGCUAAGCUGCAACUGACAUUGAGGCUCGAAAGUGUGGGUAUCAAACAGGAUUAGAUACCCUGGUAGUCCACACGGUAAACGAUGAAUACUCGCUGUUUGCGAUAUACUGCAAGCGGCCAAGCGAAAGCGUUAAGUAUUCCACCUGGGGAGUACGCCGGCAACGGUGAAACUCAAAGGAAUUGACGGGGGCCCGCACAAGCGGAGGAACAUGUGGUUUAAUUCGAUGAUACGCGAGGAACCCUACCCGGGCUUAAAUUGCAGAUGAAUUACGGUGAAAGCCGUAAGCCGCAAGGCAUCUGUGAAGGUGCUGCAUGGUUGUCGUCAGCUCGUGCCGUGAGGUGUCGGCUUAAGUGCCAUAACGAGCGCAACCCUUGUUGUCAGUUACUAACAGGUUCCGCUGAGGACUCUGACAAGACUGCCAUCGUAAGAUGUGAGGAAGGUGGGGAUGACGUCAAAUCAGCACGGCCCUUACGUCCGGGGCUACACACGUGUUACAAUGGGGGGUACAGAGGGCCGCUACCACGCGAGUGGAUGCCAAUCCCCAAAACCUCUCUCAGUUCGGACUGGAGUCUGCAACCCGACUCCACGAAGCUGGAUUCGCUAGUAAUCGCGCAUCAGCCACGGCGCGGUGAAUACGUUCCCGGGCCUUGUACACACCGCCCGUCAAGCCAUGGGAGCCGGGGGUACCUGAAGUGCGUAACCGCGAGGAGCGCCCUAGGGUAAAACUGGUGACUGGGGCU
rnacentral:rRNA from 1 species